CCAAUAGCGUAUAUUAAAGUUGUUGCAGUUAAAAAGCUCGUAGUUGAAUUUCGGGAUUAGUACGUCGGUCGUGCCUUCGGUACGUACUGGUGUUACUGAUUCCUACCUUCUGACGAACCAUCAUGUCAUUAAUUUGGUGUGGCGGGGAAUCAGGACUGUUACUUUGAAAAAAUUAGAGUGUUUAAAGCAGGCUCGCGCUUGAAUACAUUAGCAUGGAAUAAUGAAAUAGGACGUUGACCCUAUUUUGUUGGUUUCUAGGAUUGACGUAAUGAUUAAUAGGGAUAGUUGGGGGCAUUAGUAUUCAAUUGUCAGAGGUGAAAUUCUUGGAUUUAUUGAAGACUAACUACUGCGAAAGCAUUUGCCAAGGAUGUUUUCAUUAAUCAAGAACGAGAGUUAGGGGAUCGAAGACGAUCAGAUACCGUCGUAGUCUUAACCAUAAACUGUGCUGACUAGGGAUCGGAUGAUGUUAUUUUUAAUGACUCAUUCGGCGCCUUACG
rnacentral:rRNA from 1 species